UCUCCGUAGGUGAACCUGCGGAGGGAUCAUUACAGAGUUCAUGCCCUACCGGGUAGAUCUCCCACCCUAUGUUAUUAUUACUUUGUUGCUUUGGCGGGCCGUUAGGCUCCGGCCCGACUACCGGCCCCGGCUGGUAAGCGCCCGCCAGAGGACCCAAAACCCUGAAUAUUAGUGUCGUCUGAGUACUAUAUAAUAGCUAAAACCUUCAACAACGGAUCUCUUGGUUCUG
rnacentral:misc_RNA from 1 species